AUUGAACGCUGGCGGCAGGCUUAACACAUGCAAGUCGAGCGAGAGGCGGACGGGUGAGUACUGUCUGGGAAACUGCCUGAUGGAGGGGGAUACCUACUGGAAACGGUAGCUAAUACCGCAUACACACAGAUGGGCCCAGAUGGGAUUAGCUAGUAGGUGGGGUAAUGGCUCCCCUAGGCGACGAUCCCUAGCUGGUCUGAAAGGAAGACCAGCCACACUGUAACUGAGACACGGUCCAGACUCCUACGGGAGGCAGCAGUGGGGAAUAUUGCACAAUGGGCGCAAGCCUGAUGCAGCCAUGCCGCGUGUGUGAAGAAGGCCUUCGGGUUGUAAAGCACUUUCAGCGAGGAGGCGUUACUCGCAGAAGAAGCACCGGCUAACUCCGUGCCAGCAGCCGCGGUAAUAC
rnacentral:rRNA from 1 species